CUCGCCGCCUGUUGGAGUUGAUUUUCCGCUCGAAUCCCGGAGUGAGAGACAGCACAGGAUGCCAGAGUUCUCUCAGUGCGCCUGGUGGAUGUUCUACAGUCAUCAGCAUAUUGGUACUGUUUCUUCUAUGUGGGGGAGGAAGUGGCUGCUCUGGCCAUCAGGAUCUGAAUGAAUGUUGUCCAGACAAACGAAACGAGCUUCAACACCACCACCAUUGAGAGCCGAGGGCUUCGGUAUGCCAUCUUUAAGAAAUGCUAUGAAAAUGUAACGUACUGGAGUGCUGAUCCUGGGGUGAGUAAUAAAGUUUUAUAAUCAUCAUAUUUUAGAUAGUGUAGGUUCUGACAUCCACACAGCACACAGAAAAAAGUCAACACUGAGGUUGAGACACAUCAAACCACUAACAGUGUUUCCACUCACAGCACAACUUGUGUUUAGUCCUUACUUAUAAGUCACUAAAGUAAAAGUAGAAGAGCUUAUGUCUUUUAGAUGAAGUCCUUUGUAAUAACAUGAUAGAAAACAACAAUGACAAGUUAACAAGGUGUGUAUUUUCCUGUUAUUUAAUGACUGGAUGUGUUUAUCUGUCUCUGUUUUCAUUUCCACAGAAAUCCAUCAGCUGCUUACGUGUUAAAACAUUCAGAUAUCUUUAAGACAAAGGAGUUAUUUACUACACAGUAUCACCCAGACAAAUGCUUUAAAAAUAUAUCAGAAAGAUAAAAGCUAGCAUACAAGUGUGUUUCUCUUUGGCCAUCCAACUUUACUGCUCUUUACACUUGCAAGCCGUGCUGUAGCAGGUGAAGGUGACUAAAGAUCAUGAAGAUUCUAAUUUUAUAUAUUUAGCCCCUAAAUCAGGUGCAACCUCAAUGGAUGUUAAUUGCGAAGUGUAUCACAUUAAUGUACAUCCUUAUUUUUAUUGUUAUGUAAUUGUUCUAUUUAUUUUAGUCUUUUAAUGGUUAUGACUGGUAAAAAAAUAUUAUUUUUUAAAUGAGCUGCUGGAUAUCUGAAUUUCCUCUUGGGUGGGUCGGUCUAUCUAUCUAUCUAUCUAUCUAUCUAUCUAUCUAUCUAUCUAUCUAUCUAUCUAUCUAUCUAAUCAAUCAAUCAAUCAAUCAAUCAAUCAAUCAAUCAAUCAGAGUCUAUCAAUCAGAGUCAUGGUUAUAGAAUCAUUUUUCUACCUUCCAGGUAACUGUUCACCAACUGUAGCACCUAUUCAAGAUCCACACAGUAACAUUCGGAUUGGUGUUAUUGCUGCGAGCAUUCUUUGUGCUGUUGCUCUUUUAUGUAUAGGUUGUGGAUAUUGGAAGAGGAAAAGGCUUUGAGGAUAGCUUCAAAAUUGACGUGAAUCUAGAUGUGACUACAAAUCAGCAGAGCAGGACCACGUUGUUUCUAUGGCAGAACUGGAGUCAAACAGCAUUUGCUGAACUGUCACGUCUGUACCUGCUUGCAAUCAAGACUCCACUUCCCAGCAUUCACAGCAGCCUUGAAACAUCGCUGCCAUGGAUGACAACACCAUUUUUGUUUAUUUAUUACUUAUUUAUUAAUAUCUUAGAAUAGACCAUUUAUGUAGCUCCUUUAAUAGAAUAGGCUGUCUUUAUUUAGUGUUUAUUUAUUUAACACCUUAACUCCAAACUAAAUUCCGUGUAGUUUCAACAAUUACUUGGCAAUAAGGCUUUUUCUGAUUCUGAUCCUCUGCUUCACUGCUCACACCCCCUGAUUGCACACACCUGGACUCAAUCACCACAGCACACUGCACCGAGCCACUACGAAGUAAAUGGCUGAUUUUACCAAACCUUUUGAUUAUUGUGCUGCUUUUCUGGUUUUGUACUUUGCCUUUUUGAUAUUGCCUCUCAUUGCCUGUUUGUGCCUUAUCUGACCAUUGGCUGGUUUGAAUCUGCCUUUUGUCUAAUGUUUGGAUUUGUCUGCCAGUGUGCUGCCUUAAACUCCCUUCUUUUACAUCCAUCUGUUGCCUGCCUUUGACACAAACUUGUUUGUAAAUGAGUAAAAUAACCCAGAAAUUGUCAUGAUCUGCCCCAGAGUUCCACUCCGGAGAUUUACUAUCUCCCAGUUCAGCGCAAUCAGGAUCCGGGACAGGACUUCCAUCUUGCCGGCAUUCACUUCCUGGUCUGCCUGCUGUGUAUAAAUAGGCCGUUCUCAGAAGGGGACUUUGCCAGAAUGUCUUGUCUGUUUCUCAUGUUGUCAUUGUGCCAUUUUUUGCUUUGUGAUUUUUGCUCUCUGUUUUGCCUAGUCUUCGCCAUGGUUUUUUGUACUCACGUUUUGUCAUUUUUUUCUUGUUUUUUGCACUAUGGUUGUUGUCUGAACUAUUUUUCAUAUUAGCACUUUGUCUACCUCGUUGUUGUCUGGAUUAUUUUUGCUGACUUUGUUGACUUUCUUGGGACUUUAAUUUAGGGGUCGACCGAUAAUCGGCCUGGCCGAUAUAUCGGGCCGAUAUUCUGCAUUUUUAGGGUUAUCGGUAUCGGCCAUAAUUUCCACCGAUAUGCCGAUAACAUGCCUUUUUGCAGCCAUUUCGUUCCUCACGCGACUGUCACUGCACGUCCUUUCCUGCACUCGCCUCUCUGAGUUCAAGAACACGGUCCUGCCCACCACAACAUCUGAUUUGUUUGGCACGAGAUGUAGCUAAACGCUGUGAACUGUUUCAAGGCGGCCGUACGUGCACUCGGGCAGAAGCGGCACAAGGGAUACAGCCAAUCAACACGCGUAGCUAAACGCUGUGAACUGUUUCAAGGCGGCCAUACGGGCACUCGGGCAGAAGCAGAUCCCACUUCAAGAUAUCAGCAGAUUAGACCUGCGCCAACAGCCAGGACCAACCCUGGGUUGAGUGGGCCUCCUGCAGACAUUUCAAGAUCAAGAGCAGAUUCACCUGUCCAACCCCAUCUCCAAGACUUUCCAAGGACAGCUUUUGGUAGUAGGCAAAGACAUUUCAGUGCUUCGUGGUAUGGCCUACACACAUGGAUCGAAUAUUCGCAGUGCUAGGAUGCCAUUUGUUAUGCCUGUAGGCACUUUAGCCUUCUGAACAUGGACACUACUUUCACACACAGCAUACAAAAACUGGAAAAAAGCCAUGUGUAAGGAUAGUGGCUUUGCCACUCAUUCUAAGUCUGAGGUGCACAUUAAUGCCAUGUUGACUUGGCAAAAUCACAAAGACAAUGAUGCAGAGGAAAUUCUGGUAAACAGAUUGUCACACAGCGCCCAAGAUUUAGCACAGGAAAAUCGCCAUUAUAUUAAAUGUGUUGCUGAAGUGUUACUCUUAACUGCCACUCAGAAUAUCGCACAAAGAGGACAUGGGGAGAGUGAGGACAGUGACAACAAAGGGAACUUUCUGGCCAUUCUAGAGCUUUUUGCAAACCAUGACUCCACUGUUGAAAAGAAAUUGAAUAAUAGUGUGCGCAAUGGGAAAUACACGUCACCUCAAAUCCAGAAUGAAGUGUUGCAUCUAUUAGCAGAAAUGGUGCGCUCCACCAUCAUAAAGGAAGUGAAGGACAGUCAGGAGGUCUUUGCCCUUUUGGCAGAUGAGACUAAAGACAUUUCAAAGAAAGAGCAGAUGUCAUUUGUACUAAGGUACUAUUAUAAUGGGGAGGUGAAAGAAAGCUUUUUGCAUUUUGAAACUUUAGAAUAGCUUGAUGCUGCCGAAUUGAUCAAAAGGUUGGUCAGUAUACUUGAGCGAUAUGGCCUGGAAUACAGAGAAAAUUUAGUUGGGCAGGCAUAUGAUGGCACGUCAGUCAUGCGGGGGAAAAACAGUGGUGUUCAGGCUCGCCUGAAGGAGUUGGCGAAUAAAGCCUUCUAUGUUCAUUGUAAUGCCCAUUGUUUAAACUUGGUGCUUGUGGACACGGUUAAAAUUAUCCCUGAGGUUGAAAAUUUCUUUUCUGUGGUGCAGAAAUUAUAUAACUUCAUGUCAGGGUCAUAUGUUCACCCAAAGUGGCUCAAUAUGCAGAGACGAUUGUAUGAAGGGACGCCACCAAAGGAACUGCAAAAAUUGAGUGACACAUGCUGGGCCUGUCGACAGAGAGCAUGCCAAACUAUUCUUGAUAGGCUCCCGGCCAUCAUCUGUGUUCUUGAAGAGUUAGAUGUCAAUGAAAGUGGUGACCGAUCUGUUGACGCACGAAGCUUGUUGGCCUUGUUAGAUUUGCAGUUUGUUGUGCUUCUGGUCAUACUUGCUAAGUUUUUUUUGGUGAGGUGAAAUGUCUGUCGGAGGCACUCCAGUGCCAAAACCUUGAUCUAGGUGUGUCUGUAGAUUUGGUUGAGGCACUGGUAUAUAAUCUUCGCAACUCCCGAAAUGAAGAGUAUUUUGAGGGGUUAUGGAGGACUGUGAUUGUUACGGCACAAGAGUGCAACAUUGACAUUGAACCCGGGAAAAGAACACUGCUUAAUCAAAGACUGGAUCAUGCACAUGUGAUGUCCACUCUCGGUGGGCGUUCUGAAAAAAAAACAAGGACACUUUCAGAAUUGGGAUUUUUUUACCGAACAAUAGAUGUCAUGCUGAAUGAGAUCAAGCGGAGGUUUUCAAAGCCAAGUUGUACUGUUAUGCGAGGUAUUGAAGCCUUAAACCCCAAAAGUAAUCACUUCUCUGAUGAGGAAGCGCUGCUUCCAUUUGCUGCACUUCAUGAUUACAAUACAGAAGAUUUGAAACAUGAACUACAUCAGUUUAAGUGCAUACUGGACAGAAAGAUCCAAGCAGGCAUCAAAAAGCCUUCAAGCAUACUUGAUGUGACGAAUAUACUUGAGCCAAAUCGUGAAGUUUUCCAUGAACUAUUCAGGUUGUAUAAAAUUGCAGUCACCAUCCCUGUGAGCACAGCUUCAUAUGAAAAGUUUCUCUGCACUGAAACUCAUUAAAACCUAGUUGAGAUCAACGAUGGGUGACAGUAGAUUGAACAACUUAGGCUUGCUCAGUGUGGAGUCUAGCUGAACCAAAUGCCUAAACUUGGAUGAGUUUGUGAAUCACUUUUCUCACUCUAACCGCAGAAUACAACUUUAAAGUUAGUUUGUCUGUUACAGUCCAAAGGCAUGCAGGUUAGGUUAACUGGUGACUCUAAAUUGACCGUAGGUGUGAAUGUGAGUGUGAAUGGUUGUCUGUGUCAGCCCUGUGAUGACCUGGCAACUUGUCCAGGGUAGGGUUGGGUAUUAAAAGGGUUUCAUUCGAUACCGGUGCCAAAUCGAU